GAUGAACGUUGGCGGCGUGCCUAAUACAUGCAAGUCGAACGAAGACUGUAGUAAUACUGUCUUAGUGGCGAACGGGUGAGUAACGCGUGGGUGACCUGCCCCGAAGUGUGGGAUAACAGUCCGAAAGGAUUGCUAAUACUGCAUAAUAUCCAAGAGAUUAGAUGCUUUUGGAUUAAAGGAGUAAUUCGCUUCGGGAGGGGCCCGCGUCCCAUCAGCUAGUUGGUAAGGUAAUGGCUUACCAAGGCGAUGACGGGUAGGGGACCUGAGAGGGUGGCCCCCCACAAUGGAACUGAAACACGGUCCAUACACCUACGGGUGGCAGCAGUAGGGAAUAUUAGUAAUGGGCGAAAGCCUGAACUAGCAACGCCGCGUGUGCGAAGAAGGCCUUCGGGUCGUAAAGCACUUUUCGGGAGGAAGAGGAAGGACUGUACUCCCAGAAUAAGCCUCGGCUAACUACGUG
rnacentral:rRNA from 1 species